rnacentral:rRNA from 1 species
GACAGAGGGUGCAAACGUUGUUCGGAAUUACUGGGCGUAAAGCGCGUGUAGGCGGCUUGGCAAGUCGGAUGUGAAAGCCCAGGGCUCAACCCUGGAAGUGCACUCGAAACUGCCGAGCUGGAGUCCCGGAGAGGAAGGCGGAAUUCUCGGUGUAGAGGUGAAAUUCGUAGAUAUCGAGAGGAACACCUGUGGCGAAGGCGGCCUUCUGGACGGUGACUGACGCUGAGACGCGAAAGCGUGGGGAGCAAACAGG